CGAGUUCAUUGGAAACUACUACACAAAUUUUGGGAUUGUUGAGUACGAUAAAAUUGUUUACGAUUACAUAAGAAAUUGUGGACAACCUUUGCUUGAUUGCUGUGUUCCUUUUGCUUGCAUCUUGGAUAAGAAGAAUCCCAAAGAUUUUCUGCGACUCUCUGUCCCAUAAUGAAUAAUGAAGGAAUGCAAGGCUCUUUGAUGGAAGAAAACAAGUACCCCAUGGACUAAAAGCUCCCCUUCAUGUUCUGCGCGCAGUUAGAGAUUUAAGACUCUUAUUUGGCAUUAAAAGUAUUAUGUUUGACAGUUUGAAACAUCUUAAUUUUUAUGUUAUUUUUUAUUAUAAGUUUUUUUAUAUUUUAUGUUACUUCAACUAAGUAUUUUGAGUAAUUUUUAU